rnacentral:rRNA from 1 species
GACAGAGGAGGCAAGCGUUAUCCGGAAUUAUUGGGAGUAAAGCGUUCGUAGGUGGUUUGACAAGUCUGGGGUUAAAGCCCGGAGCCCAACUCCGGAUCGGCCCUGGAAACUGUCAGAAUUGAGUAAGGUAGGGGUUGCGGGAAUUCCCGGUGUAGCGGUGAAAUGCGUAGAUAUCGGGAAGAACACCAGCGGCGAAAGCGCGCAACUGGGCCAUUACUGACACUGAGGGACGAAAGCUAGGGGAGCGAAUGGG